GACGAACGCUGGCGGCGUGCCUAAUACAUGCAAGUAGGACGCAGGUGCGAACGGGUGAGUAACGCGUAGGUAACUACCUAUUAGAGGGGGAGAACAAUUGGCAACGAUAGCUAAUACCGCAUACUAGUAGAUGGACCUGAGUUGUAUUAGCUAGUAGGUAGGGUAAUGGCUUACCUAGGCAACGAUACAUAACCGGCCUGAGAGGGGGAUCGGCCACACUGGGACUGAGACACGGCCCAGACUCCUACGGGAGGCAGCAGUAGGGAAUCUUCGGCAAUGGGGGGAAUCCUGACCGAGCAACGCCGCGGGAGUGAAGAAGUUUGUCGGAUCGUAAAGCUCUGUUGUUAAGGAAGCGGUAAUUAACCAGAAAGGGACGGCUAACUACGUGCCAGCAGCCGCGGUAAUUC
rnacentral:rRNA from 1 species